rnacentral:rRNA from 1 species
CCUACGGGUGGCAGCAGUGAGGAAUAUUGGACAAUGGUCGGAAGACUGAUCCAGCCAUGCCGCGUGCAGGAAGACGGCCUUAUGGGUUGUAAACUGCUUUGGCAGGGGAAGAAUAAGGACUACGAGUAGUUUGAUGACGGUACUCUGCGAAUAAGCAUCGGCUAACUCCGUGCCAGCAGCCGCGGUAAUACGGAGGAUGCGAGCGUUAACCGGAAUCAUUGGGUUUAAAGGGUCUGUAGGCGGGCUAAUAAGUCAGAGGUGAAAGCGCUCAGCUCAACUGAGCAACUGCCUUUGAAACUGUUAGUCUUGAAUGGUUGUGAAGUAGUUGGAAUGUGUAGUGUAGCGGUGAAAUGCUUAGAGAUUACACAGAACACCGAUAGCGAAGGCAUAUUACUAACAAUUAAUUGACGCUGAUGGACGAAAGCGUGGGGAGCGAACAGGAUUAGAUACCCCUGUAGUC